UGUUGAAAAGUUGUUCCGAGAGGACGUGCAUUAGUCUAAAAGUUCAGUUUCUGGAAAGUGUCAGAUAGUGUGUGAGCAGCUCUUGCCAACAAAAGAGUUGCAAUACGUGUGCAAACCUGUUAUACAUACAUAGAUUGUAAUGAAAAAAUGUGAAGGCUGUGAAGAAGAGUGUGAUAUGAUGAGGACGAGCAAAUGGCCUUCGUGACAGAGCGAGUGGUAUGAGUCAUGAGCAACUGCUGUCAAUCAACGCUCACCUGAAGCCUUUGGUCCGGAAUUCACACUCGUUUUCCUGCUCCUCGAAACGUUAAUGGCAACGAUGAGGAGGAACGGAACACUUGACAAACAGCAAGAGCAACCACAUCAAAACAGAAAACAUUAAAUCGAUGGGCAAUGAAAUCGAUACCUACCUACCAACCUGCAUCAUCAAUCAAUCCGAUCGAUAAUCGUCUGCUUGAUUUUCGUUUUAAUCACUGAGUGAGUCUUCACGUCUGUCCGUCUUCUACAUCCACAAUGGCAGCCAGUUGCACACCAGCCGAUCCUACACAGUUGGCCGAAACAGCAAACUAGCAGCGGCAGCAGCAGCAGCAAACACCACCGAGUCUCCCUUACCCAAAAUGCCAGAUGCAGCUGACAGAUAAAUGGGGACAAGGCGGAAUUGCGCGCGGCAGCAGCAGCUUGAGCUCAACAGCAAA